AUUGUAACGUAGUCAACAUGAAUUUUAUUAAGAUUUAUAAAAUAUUUGUAAUUUUAUUCAUUGCAAUUCACACAUCAAUUGAACAACAAGUUUUCACAAAUCCCUCGAGUGUAUUAGAUGUGGUAAACCCCAAUAGAUCAAAUGACCUAUCUCCAUUGCGACAGGUGCGUCAAAUGUCAAUAUUUACAUCAUCACGAAGAUAUUCUCCAUGUGGCUAUCGGCACAACAGAAAGAAUUCAGGCUGUUAAGUUUUAAUAAGUUAUUCAUAAAUAUUUUUAUUACCAGAAGUUUAAUACACUUGUAAACCCUUUUUUUAUAAUUUAAGUAGGUUUUAGAGAUUUAAACCUAAGAUUCAUCAUAAAUAAACUAAGCCAUUUAUUGUUAAACAUAUUUAAGACUAUUUCUAAGAUUGUAUAUAUCUUUAGUAAAAGCCGGCUUGUUACUA
rnacentral:sRNA from 1 species